rnacentral:rRNA from 1 species
CGGUUGUCACGCCAGUGGCAGCGCCGGGUAGCCAUGGCCGGUUUGGAUAAGCGCUGAAAGCAUCUAAGUGCGAAGCCAACUCCAAGAUAAGGUCUCCCACCGGGUUAACCGGGUAAGGGCCCUGGUAGACAACCAGGUUGAUAGGCCGGAGGUGUAAGAGGAGCAAUCCUUUGAGCUGACCGGUACUAAUAGCCCGAGGGCUUGUUCACCUAUAACUCACUCU